rnacentral:miRNA from 1 species
UACAAGAAUUGCGUUUGGACA